UUCGUUGAGCGUACACGACAACCACAAAAUUAAAUGUUUCCCCUGUAGCAAAAAAAAAAAGAAAAAAAAAGAGAAAAAACCAGCAGCCAAUCACGAGGCGCGUAAUUUUUUGACAACGUCCUAAUUCUGGCCAAUGACGAGCACUGGUGGGAGGGGACAGCCUUGACGCACUGAGGCUCGUGAUUGACGCAAGCUUUGUUGCUAAUUUUAGCAGCUGGCAGACGGAGGCUGGAGGUUGAAAGGGAGUCCAUUCAUUGUACCGGGGCGGGCCCUACUAUUUCAGCGGCAGCAAUUGUGAUCCAGCCAAGCCAAAUAUAGUCGUAGACAGGUAUUUUUAGCCAUACAGCGUGUCCCCGUUUUUUUAUUCGACCCAAAGCUGAUACGGGAUACCGCUUUAAGUAGCUCCAAAAGUGAGCACGCGCUCGGCUUCGACAGUCAGCUGAUGUGACGCUCCCGCCAUCACACACACAGUAAACACAACAACUAUUAGCUAACAUAAUGCGUAUAGCAGCUAACCGUGGGAGAACGGAAGAACCUUCACUGUGUCCGGCGAUAAGUGUUGGGAACUCGGGUUCGCCAGGCAGACACACACGGCAGAAAAAUGAUCACGAAUCCACACGAGCGGUAUCGGCCGACUUCACUCAUCGGAAUCGGCAGCCCACCCCCGAUCGGAGCAUCCCUAAAUGACAUACAACAAGACAGGCCAAAACAUGUCCUAUAGGCAUAAGUCACAUGUUCUUCUUCGGCUGAUCCUGUGCUGUUCUGCUUCCCUGAAGAGUCUAAAGAAUUUUCCGGGUCACCCAAGGC